rnacentral:tRNA from 1 species
GGCGACUUGGCCGAGUGGCUAGGCGGCGGUUUGCAAAACCGCUUUACCCCGGUUCGAUUCCGGGAGUCGCCU